rnacentral:rRNA from 1 species
GACGAACGCUGGCGGCGUGCUUAACACAUGCAAGUCGAACGGAAAGGCCCUGCUUGUGUGGGGUGCUCGAGUGGCGAACGGGUGAGUAACACGUGAGUAACCUGCCCUUGACUUUGGGAUAACUUCAGGAAACUGGGGCUAAUACCGGAUAGGAGCUCCUGCUGCAUGGUGGGGGUUGGAAAGUUUCGGCGGUUGGGGAUGGACGCGCGGCUUAUCAGCUUGUUGGUGGGGUAGUGGCUUACCAAGGCUUUGACGGGUAGCCGGCCUGGGAGGGUGACCGGCGACAUUGGGACUGAGGGACGGCCCAGAGUGGUACGGGAGGCAGCAGUGGGGAAUAUGGCACAAUGGGCGGAAGCCUGAUGCAGCAACGCCGCGUGCGGGAUGACGGCCUUCGGGUUGUAAACCGCUUUCGCCUGUGACGAAGCGUGAGUGACGGUAAUGGGUAAAGAAGCACCGGCUAACUACGUG